CCUACGGGUGGCAGCAGUGAGGAAUAUUGGUCAAUGGACGAGAGUCUGAACCAGCCAAGUAGCGUGAAGGAUGACUGCCCUAUGGGUUGUAAACUUCUUUUAUAUGGGAAUAAAAUGUUCCACGUGUGGGAUUUUGUAUGUACCAUAUGAAUAAGGAUCGGCUAAUUCCGUGCCAGCAGCCGCGGUAAUACGGAGGGGCCGAGCGUUAUCCGGAUUUAUUGGGUUUAAAGGGAGCGUAGGUGGAUUGUUAAGUCAGUUGUGAAAGUGUGCGGCUAAACCGGAAAAGUGCAGUUGAAACUGGCAGUCUUGAGUACAGUAGAGGUGGGCGGAAUUCGUGGUGUAGCGGUGAAAUGCUUAGAUAUCACGAAGAACUCCGAUUGCGAAGGCAGUUCACUGGACUGCAACUGACACUGAGGCUCGAAAGUGUGGGUAUCAAACAGGAUUAGAUACCCUAGUAGUC
rnacentral:rRNA from 1 species